CCUACGGGAGGCAGCAGUAGGGAAUAUUGCACAAUGGGGGAAACCCUGAUGCAGCAACGCCGCGUGGAUGAUGAAGGUUUUCGGAUUGUAAACUACUUUUGUUGGAGAGGAUAAUGAUGGUAUUAAACGACUAAGCACCGGCUAACACCGUGCCAGCAGCCGCGGUAAUACGGAGGGUGAAAGCGUUAAUUGGAAGCACUGGGCGAAAAGCGCGCGUAGGUGGGAUGGCAAGUCAGAUGUGAAAUCCUAGGGCUUAACCAUAGAACUGCAUCUGAAACUGGUAGUCUUGAGUAUGGGAGAGGGAGGUAGAAUUCCAGGUGUAGGGGUGAAAUCCGUAGAGAUCUAGAGGAAUACUGGUGGCGAAGGCGACCCGCUAGAACAAAACUGACGCUCAUGUGCGAAAGCGUGGGGAGCAAACAGGAUUAGAUACCCCUGUAGUC
rnacentral:rRNA from 1 species